AUUUGUUCCUCUCUCUCGUUUCUCUCUAAACAGUCGCGAAGAAAGGCCGAAGGAAAAGAAAUAGAGAGGAAAAAAAAUAGGCGGAACCUGAGUCCGUCCCCUCCACCUGAUGCCCCCAUCUAUCUCGCUUCUCUCUCUCUCGCCUUCUCUUUUUCCGCCGCCGCCGCCUUCGCCGGCCGGUUCCGACGAAAUCCGGCGGUCUCAGUUAUCGUGCUGGCUACCAAUCUCCUCCUCUCCUCGCGCUCUGUAUGCUCCACUGCAUCGAUUCGUCGAUCCCACCCUCCAGUGCUUGCCCGCAUCGGUUUUACCCGUCUAGGGUUUCGGUGUACUCGACCUCCUCGUCGCCGGCGAUGCUCCGGCGUCUUGCUCUGCCUCCAUGGCUCCGUCCCCACGCUUGUAGCAGCGGCCCAAGGAGGAGCUUCAUACUCGGCAUGUGGAGCUCGAGACGCGGCGGUGGUCCAUGGCAUCGAGACCAUCCGUCUUCCUCUACAGAAGCAGCGCGGGCCGCAGAGACGCCCGGCUCAAUCGUGCUCUCAUGUCGCAGUUCUUCUGCCCGACGAAGAAGAGAGGCGAAUAGGAGAAGCACGAUGCAAAUGUUGUUUCUCUAUGCCUACAAGGUGUUCGAAGAAAUUCCAAGAAGACUGACAGGGAGUUUUUGUAUCAGAACAUGUAUUUGCAGGUGUUAUGUCAAAAGACCUAAAAUGUAGGCUACCUAUGUUGAUUAUAAUAAGGGUGUUUCCUUGUGUGUUGAUUUAGAUGUUUUUUUUCAAUGUCUUUGAGUAAGCCUGUCAUGCCAUUGUUUUACUUCAGAGUUUUCAAGUUUGCCAUAUACCACUUUGUGAGCUAAGAAAUACUUAUAGUUGACUCAACCAAGAAAUACUUAUAGUUGAAUAUGGUUUGAUAAGCUCCUUGUUUGACCCUGAAUCCUCCAGAUAAACUCGAGCAAUCAUACUACAACAUUUCCUCAACUGCAAUUAAAGUCGAAAGAUGGUUUGUAAAUGUUCCAUGGUUGCUUACUUUAAAACUUUUCUCACAUAAGUAUGUAUUUGGACAGAUCAUAAUGUCCGGUGUGUAGUGAUGCUUGAUAAAACAUCUGCUUUUAGCCCUGGGACUCAUGCUUCAGCAUAUGUUCCAUCACGUGAUAAUUAUACACUUGGUUAGUAGUGUUUCCUAUUUUCUUAUCCUUAGCUUACCCUGCAUUCUUGAUACUUCAGUUAACAUGUUUAUUAGUUUUUCAUGCCACUCCUGCUUGACAUGCCAAUUCCCAAAGAAACAAAAUCUUGAUACCUCAAUCUUGAAGUUUAUAGAUUGGGUGGUUCGUGUGCACGUACAACAACAAAUUAAGCAAUAAGUACAAGUCGACAAUCAGAGGUGCAAAUCGACAACCGGCUCUUCAUGUUAUAGAUUCUUCAUUUUGUUUUUUUUCCUAGCUUAGUUUGUAGGUGCAUUCAGAUUUUGUUUUGGGGACAAAGAAUAAUCCAUUUUUAAUUGGGGAACCUGUUGCUCAUUUUGUGCCGGACUGAAAAGCUCAACUGAAGGAAGACACUUUUUUUCUAUGUGCAAAUUCUUUUAUUGUUGGAAGAAUAUGUAAAGAAGAAAGAAAUUUUACCCCAUGAGUAAUUCAUCGAAUAUCAUGUUUGUAGAUUCACGUAUAACUUGUAGGACACGUGAUGAGGAGGGGAAGCGGCUGCGAUCAAGCCACCGCCGUUGAGUCGACGGUGUCGUGCCUCUGCGACCGGGAUCAGGCAAGGUAGAUGGGAAGAAGUGGCGCCCCUCUCCCCUGAGCUCCAGAUCCAUGGCAGCAGCAGCAGCGAGGACAUCCGCGACGUAUAUCCCAAGAAGUUGCCAAACUACAAGGCCAAGCUGAAAAAUUUCUUUGAAGAGCACUUGUGUACUGACGAAGAGAUACACUUUUUUUCUUGAGGGCAGUGGUAGACUGGUUACUUUGAUGCGAGGGACCAAAAUGAAGAGUGGAUCUAUAUAGCAGUGAAGGAAGGGGGCAUGAUUGUUUUGCCUGCAGGAAUGUAUCAUGGAUUCACGUUGGACAAUGACAACUACAUCAAAGGCAAGGGCGUAAAGCAUCUGGGGAUAGAAUAGAACUAGAAAGACGAAAUCAUCAGCGUAUAACAAUGCCCACCUCCUUGCUGAUCAAGCUGUUCGACCUGUCUAACAUGAUCAAUUUUUUGUUAUAGAGACUAUGCUCCAGUUGUUUGUAGUUGUGCUCCGAAUAGAUGUCCCCCUACUUGUAAUAGAUAAUCACACUUUGCUAUAGUAAGUUGAAGAGCCGGUGUUUGUAUGCAGCUGCCCUACACAUACUGGAAACAGGAGAAUGAAAGGGGUGUGAAGCUCGCCGUCGACACGCAUCGGCUUUGUGUGCGCUGCCAGCGGCCAACCACUCAGCAUCCAACCAGUGCGAUGAAGAUGACCAUCUAGAGUACAUACGCGUUUUAGGUACCUGUGCUUGCCUCAUAUUUGUUUCCUGACUUUACCGAUUCCUCUCACCAUGGCUCUCUGUCAUCAUUUCCAGUGUCACUGCUGCUAUGAAACUUUUCUUGAACCAUUUGUGAGUUCUCAAGUUUAGAGCUUAAAAGGAGUUGCCGUACAAUUUUGUAAUUUCUUAUCAUUUCUUAGUUGUUUAGCUUCAUCUAUUCUUGAACCAUUUGUGAACUAUGAAAUUUUGUAAUUUCUUAGUUGUUUAGCUUCAUCUAUUCUUGGGUCCACUUUUCUCUAAGUCGAAGCUUUAGCUUCAAGAAACCAAUCAUGUUUAAUUUGCAAUUAGCAUGUGUCUUAUUCAUCAUAUAUGUGUGUGUUCUCAACUUUAGGAGUUACAAGGAGCGAUGGUACAAUUUUACAAUCUGCCAUGCUUUUGUACUUGAACUUCACUGCUUCCGAAGAAUGAUCCUUAACUUAGUUACUUACCUUCAUGUCUUUCUUAUAGGGUAGCUUUGGAACUUGGGUACACUUUUCUCUUAUAUAAAGCUUUAUCUUCAAACAAUCAAUGAUAUUUAAGGCUGUUCCAUAACCCACUUCAUUUGGUUCUCACCGAUAUUGAGCGCAAUGCAGGAGCACCUGGUGAGCUUGAGGAACAUUGUUAUUGGGGCAAUGAGGUUAAGAUCUAUGAGCACCAUGUAGACGCCACAGCCACAGCCAUGUAAACCAAACAUCAAGUACUAUGUAUGCACCAUCAUACAAGACAUUUGCCAAGCCACAGUGAAUCUAUUUUCAGGUUCACUACACCAAAGAGAAUCCGAUGGACUACAUUAACCUGGAUGAUGAUACACUGAAGAUCAGGAUUGUUGACGGCAAUUGCAUGAUGAUUGUCGCAUCAUGCUGGGAACUGACAAGAGGGCCACCAUCACCACCAACUUGUCAGAGUUCUGCCACCGUGCACACAUCCGCGAAGGAGACAUCUGCGCAUUCCGCUUCAAGGUCACCGAAAAUGCCGCCUUGCUCUCACCGUGCCAUCGCCUCUAGACGCAUUAUCGACAAUGACAGAAGUAUGAAUAUGAUCCUUCCAUGUACGGAGCUUAUGACGUACUGAACCUUGCUUCUUUUGGAUGUUGCAACAUGGUGCUUUUGAACAGAUAGCAUAUAUGUUGUCAGGCAUGUAACCUCUAAGAUCGCCACUCAUCAGCUUUAACUAUCUGCAAUGCGACUCUUAUCGAUGUCUGUUUA